AUGGUUGAUCAACAAUUAAGAAUCGUUCUAGAGUUAAACGAUCAAUACGAUUGACAUUUAACCUAGUGCAAGUGUUGCAGGAGGAUCGAUUAGCAAUUUGAUUGCUAAUUGGCUUAAUUUGAUUAAGUCAAUAGGUUAAGAUUAAGUCUAAUUGAAUAUUAUUUAAUUAAAUUUGGUUUGGACUUGAUUGGAUCAAGUCCAAUUGGUUUAUUGG
rnacentral:lncRNA from 1 species